rnacentral:rRNA from 1 species
UACGAAGGGGGCUAGCGUUGCUCGGAAUCACUGGGCGUAAAGCGCACGUAGGCGGCUUCUUAAGUCAGGGGUGAAAUCCUGGAGCUCAACUCCAGAACUGCCCUUGAUACUGAGGAGCUCGAGUCCGGAAGAGGUGAGUGGAACUGCGAGUGUAGAGGUGAAAUUCGUAGAUAUUCGCAAGAACACCAGUGGCGAAGGCGGCUCACUGGUCCGGUACUGACGCUGAGGUGCGAAAGCGUGGGUAGCAAACAGG